rnacentral:rRNA from 1 species
GAUUGAACGCUGGCGGCAUGCCUUACCCAUGCAAGUCGAACGGUAACGGGCCUUCGGGUGCCGACGAGUGGCGAACGGGUGAGUAAUACAUCGGAACGUGCCCGAUCGUGGGGGAUAACGAGGCGAAAGCUUUGCUAAUACCGCAUACGAUCUACGGAUGAAAGCAGGGGACCGCAAGGCCUUGCGCGGACGGAGCGGCCGAUGGCAGAUUAGGUAGUUGGUGGGAUAAAAGCUUACCAAGCCGACGAUCUGUAGCUGGUCUGAGAGGAUGAUCAGCCACACUGGGACUGAGACACGGCCCAGACUCCUACGGGAGGCAGCAGUGGGGAAUUUUGGACAAUGGGCGCAAGCCUGAUCCAGCCAUGCCGCGUGCAGGAUGAAGGCCUUCGGGUUGUAAACUGCUUUUGUACGGAACGAAAAGCCUUCUUUUAAUACAGGAGGGUCAUGACGGUACCGUAAGAAUAAGCACCGGCUAACUACGUG